CCUACGGGGCGCAGCAGUGGGGAAUAUUGCACAAUGGGGGAAACCCUGAUGCAGCGACGCCGCGUGAGUGAAGAAGUAUUUCGGUAUGUAAAGCUCUGUCAGCAGGGAAGAAAAUGACGGUAACUGACCAAGAAGCCCCGGCUAACUCCGGGCCAGCAGCCGCGGUAAUACGUAGGGGGCAAGCGUUAUCCGGAUUUACUGGGGGUAAAGGGAGCGUAGACGGCAGGGCAAGUCUGGAGUGAAAGGCGGGGGCUCAACCCCCGGACUGCUCUGGAAACUGCCAGGCUGGAGUGCAGGAGAGGUAAGUGGAAGUCCUAGUGUAGCGGUGAAAUGCGUAGAGAUUAGGAGGAACACCAGUGGCGAAGGCGGCUUACUGGACUGUAACUGACGUUGAGGCUCGAAAGCGUGGGGAGCAAACAGGAUUAGAUACCCUAGUAGUC
rnacentral:rRNA from 1 species